CACCGCGGUUAUACGAAAGACCCUAGUUGAUAGAUACGGCGUAAGGGUGGUUAAGGAAAUAAAAUAAUAAAGCUAAAGAUUUCCCAAACUGUCAUACGCCCCCGGAAAUACGAAACCCAAAUACGAAAGUAGCUUUAAACUAAUUCACCUGACCCCACGAAAGCUAAGAAACAAACUGGGAUUAGAUACCCCACUAUGCUUAGCGCUAAACCCAGAUGGUAAACUACAAACACAUCCGCCAGGGUACUACGAGCACAGCUUAAAACCCAAAGGACUUGGCGGUGUCUCAGACCCACCUAGAGGAGCCUGUUCUAGAACCGAUAACCCCCGUUAAACCUCACCACUUCUAGCCUUACCCGCCUAUAUACCGCCGUCGUCAGCUUACCCUGUGAAGGCCCAACAGUAAGCAAAAUGGGCUCGCCCAAAAACGUCAGGUCGAGGUGUAGCGUACGAAGUGGAUAGAAAUGGGCUACAUUUUCUAUAGAUAGAAUAUACGAAUAGCACCCUGAAACGAGUGCUUAAAGGUGGAUUUAGCAGUAAAAAGCAAAUAGAGUGUCCUUUUGAAUCAGGCUCUGAGACGCGCACACACCGCCCGUCACUCUCCCCCAUAUCACUAAUCAAAUAAUUCAUAAUAACAAAACCAUUCUCACGGGGAGGCAAGUCGUAACAUGGUAAGUGUACCGGAAGGUGCACUUGGAAUAAUCAGAGCGUGGCUGAG
rnacentral:rRNA from 1 species